rnacentral:rRNA from 1 species
CCUACGGGUGGCAGCAGUGAGGAAUAUUGGUUAAUGGACGAGAGUCUGAACCAGCCAAGUAGCGUGAAGGAUGACUGCCCUAUGGGUUGUAAACUUCUUUUAUAUGGGAAUAAAAUGUUCCACGUGUGGGAUUUUGUAUGUACCAUAUGAAUAAGGAUCGGCUAACUCCGUGCCAGCAGCCGCGGUAAUACGGAGGAUCCGAGCGUUAUCCGGAUUUAUUGGGUUUAAAGGGAGCGUAGGUGGAUUGUUAAGUCAGUUGUGAAAGUUUGCGGCUCAACCGUAAAAUUGCAGUUGAAACUGGCAGUCUUGAGUACAGUAGAGGUGGGCGGAAUGCGUGGUGUAGCGGUGAAAUGCUUAGAUAUCACGAAGAACUCCGAUUGCGAAGGCAGUUCACUGGACUGCAACUGACACUGAGGCUCGAAAGUGUGGGUAUCAAACAGGAUUAGAUACCCCUGUAGUC